CCAAGCAGUCGCUGCCACCACAUUGUCCCCACUUCAAGUACCUCUCCGGCUCCACAUAGUCGUUGCUUUAAGGACAUCGACAGUGAAGACACCUCGAGGAUGCACAAGAUGUGCUUGUGGUUCAUUAGAGCUCUGGCCGUUCCUCUGAAGUUCUGUGUGCUACCAUAGUAUGGAAAAUCAGGGUUUGAACUGCGGUAAUAAGACUAGCCAAAAAACCUAAUAUGGAAAGACCCGCUGAUGGUCCUGGUGGAAUUGAGCCUCGGCCAACUAAGAGAGUUCAUGAGACACACUCCUGAUCACCAACUGUGAUGUUGCUCUGCUAUCA